rnacentral:rRNA from 1 species
ACGUAGUUUCGAGUCCGUGGCUCAAGGACGAACGCUGGCGGCGUGGCUUAACACGAUGCAAGUCGACGGAAAGGCCUGCUUUUGUGGGGUGCUCGAGUGGCGAACGGGUGAGUAACACGUGAGUAACCUGCCCUUGACUUUGGGGAUAACUUCAGGAAACUGGGGCUAAUACCGGAUAGGAGCUCCUGCUGCAUGGUGGGGGUUGGAAAGUUUCGGCGGUUGGGGAUGGACUCGCGGCUUAUCAGCUUGUUGGUGGGGGUAGUGGCUUACCAAGGCUUUGACGGGUAGCCGGCCUGAGAGGGUGACCGGCCACAUUGGGACUGAGAUACGGCCCAGACUCCUACGGGAGGCAGCAGUGGGGGAAUAUUGCACAAUGGGCGGAAGCCUGAUGCAGCAACGCCGCGUGCGGGAUGACGGCCUUCGGGUUGUAAACCGCUUUCGCCUGUGACGAAGCGUGAGUGACGGUAAUGGGUAAAGAAGCACCGGCUAACUACGUG